UAAUAACAACCUUAUAUACUGUAUACAUUAUACAUAUUGUGUGUACUAUUAUCUCAAGCAUGCCUGGCCGGCUGACAUGGUCUGAAUACAUCACUUUCGCUUUUGUUGCCUUUUCCUCCAUGUUCCUGGGUGCCACUUUUGUACACAGGAUCUAUAAGCCAAACCUGACUAUCCCAGAUGAUCCACCAUCACUAGAAGGCAAAGAAUCUAAACUGAUUGGCAUCAAAAAAAGACCGUCAUAAACAAUCAUGUAUCGUUUGUACUCUUGUACAUGUGUACUCCAUGUAGAGGCUACUCAAUGCGUGUAUGUGUGCAUAUAGACAUGGUUGAAUGUGCCUAUGUGGCUUUGUACGUCAACAUUGCUUCAUUACUGA